rnacentral:piRNA from 1 species
UCUGGUGGUGCUGCUGUUUGAGACU